rnacentral:rRNA from 1 species
GAUGAACGCUGGCGGCGUGCCUAAUACAUGCAAGUCGAGCGAACGGACGAGAAGCUUGCUUUUCUGAUGUUAGCGGCGGACGGGUGAGUAACACGUGGAUAACCUACCUAUAAGACUGGGAUAACUUCGGGAAACCGGAUCUAAUACCGGAUAAUAUUUUGAACCGCAGGGUUCAAAAGUGAAAGACGGUCUUGCUGUCACUUAUAGAUGGAUCCGCGCUGCAUUAGCUAGUUGGUAAGGUAACGGCUUACCAAGGCAACGAUGCAUAGCCGACCUGAGAGGGUGAUCGGCCACACUGGAACUGAGACACGGUCCAGACUCCUACGGGAGGCAGCAGUAGGGAAUCUUCCACAAUGGGCGAAAGCCUGACGGAGCCACGCCGCGUGAGUGAUGAAGGUCUUCGGAUCGUAAAACUCUGUUAGUAGGGAAGAACAUCUGUGUAAGUAACUGUGCACAUCUUGACGGUACCUACUCAGAAAGCCCCGGCUAACUACGUG